AGAGUUUGAUCCUGGCUCAGGAUGAACGCUGGCGGCGUGCUUUAUGCAUGCAAGUCGAACGAGAAGGGGCGGACUUCGGUCCGGCCUGGAGAGUGGCGAACGGGUGAGUAACACGUGAGUGACCUGCCCCGAGGUGGGGGACAACCGUGGGAAACCACGGCUAAUACCCCGUAGUCCUGUGCGCAUUGGUCGCGUACAGGUAUAGCUCCGGCGCCUCGGGAGGGGCUCGCGGUCGAUUAGCUAGUUGGUGGGGUAACGGCCUACCAAGGCGACGAUCGAUAGCUGGUCUGAGAGGACGAUCAGCCACACUGGGACUGAGAUACGGCCCAGACUCCUACGGGGGGCAGCAGCAAGGAAUAUUGGACAAUGGGCGCAAGCCUGAUCCAGCAACGCCGCGUGGAGGAAGAAGGCUUCGGUUGUAAACUCCUUUUGUGAGGGAUGAGACAAGGACAGUACCUCACGAAUAAGUCACGGCUAACUAGGUGCCAGCAGCCGCGGUAACACCUAGGUGACAAGCGUUAUCCGGAUUUACUGGGCGUAAAGGGCUCGAAGGCGGCAGCUCAAGUCCGGCGUGAAAUCUCCUGGCUUAACCAGGAGGGGUCGUCGGAUACUGUGCUGCUAGAGGCAGUGAGAGGGGUGCGGAAUUCUCGGUGGAGUGGUGGAAUACGUAGAUAUCGAGAGGAACACCAGUGGCGAAAGCGGCGCCCUGGCACUGACCUGACGUUCAUGAGCGAAAGCGUGGGGAGCGAACGGGAUUAGAUACCCCGGUAGUCCACGCUGUAAACGAUGAGUACUAGGUGUAGGCGACAACCGUGGUCUGUGCCGAAGCUAACGCGAUAAGUACUCCGCCUGGGGACUACGGCCGCAAGGCUAAAACUCAAAGGAAUUGACGGGGACCCGCACAAGCAGCGGAGCGUGUUGUUUAAUUCGAUGUAACGCGAAGAACCUUACCUGGGUUUGACAUGUGCGUAGUAGUGAAGCGAAAGCCGAACGACCCUUCGGGGAGCGUACACAGGUGUUGCAUGGCUGUCGUCAGCUCGUG
rnacentral:rRNA from 1 species